rnacentral:rRNA from 1 species
UACGUAGGGUGCAGGCGUUAAUCGGAAUUAUUGGGCGUAAAGGGUUCGUAGGCGGACCGGAAAGUCAGAUGUGAAAUCCCACAGCUCAACUGUGGAACUGCAUUUGAAACUUCCGGACUAGAGUGUGAGAGGGGUAAAGGGAAUUCCCGGUGUAAGGGUGAAAUCUGCAGAGAUCGGGAGGAACACCAGUCGCGAAGGCGCUUUACUGGCUCACUACUGACGCUCAGGAACGAAAGCUAGGGUAGCAAACGGG